UAGGGAAUAUUCCGCAAUGGGCGAAAGCCUGACGGAGCAACGCCGCGUGAGUGAAGAAGAUCUUCGGAUUGUAAAGCUCUGUCAACAGGGACGAUAAUGACGGUACCGGUAGAGGAAGCCACGGCUAACUCCGUGCCAGCAGCCGCGGUAAUACGGAGGUGGCAGGCGUUACUCGGAUUGAUUGGGUGUAAAGGGUGUGUAGGUGGCGAUGUAAGUCGAAUGUGAAAGCCCUUGGCUUAACCAAGGAACUGCAUUCGAAACUGCAUUGAUUGAGCGACAGAGAGGAAAGUGGAAUUCCACGUGUAGCGGUGAAAUGCGUAGAGAUGUGGAGGAACACCAGUGGCGAAGGCGACUCUCUGGUCUGUAACUGACGCUGAGGAGCGAAAGCGUGGGGAGCGAACA
rnacentral:rRNA from 1 species